AAACCCUAACCUCCAAGAGCUGUCUUCACUCUCCUCGCAUCAUCUUGGCAAGAAUGGCUAGUUUUCAGGUGUACUAUCGCCUUUCACAGGCUCAGCUUAGCUAUUUGAGGAAAAUGCAUUAAUUGAUACUCCUCUUUCCUCCAUUACAACGACCAAAAAAGCUCGAGUUUCGAGGAGGAGCAAGGGCCUCAACUCCAAAUCUCGACCAAGGCCGCACAUAAGAAAAUUUGCAAGAUCGGGAAGUGAACGUGGGACAUUUAAGUAGGUGACAAGAUCUCAAGAUACAGGUUGAUGGCCCAUCUAUUAGGAUGCCAGCUCAGCGGUUAAGGUUGUUGCACUCUACUUGUUUCGGAGGUGGUAAGAGUUAGCAUGGUCAUAUACAUAUGUAUAUACUUUUGAAUGGGUAUAGCGGGGCCCUGUCCCGACCACGUUAUGUAUGUUUUCCAAUAGAGGCUUGUAGACAGUUAUGUACAGUCAGAUAAUGUCCAAACUAGAUGUUUCAUAUGUUGUCACACAGGUGAUCAUGACAGCCCUGUUGGCUCAUACAGUAUGUCUAGCAUAUCCAUAUAGAUUAGUCUUUCAGACUUUUUGAUACAUACAUGUUUACCUUAUGAAUCUAUCGAGUAUCAUAUGAUGGCACUAUUGGCCCACCUAUAUUCAUAAUGAUGUCACAGAUGUAAGUCAGAUGGUACUUGACUAGUAUGGUUAGGUGC